UUUUUUUUUUUAUAAUAGCCAUUCCAACAGGUGUGAGGUUGACAUCUCAUUGUGGCUUUGAUUUGCAUUUCCAUGAUGAUUAGCAAUGUUGAACAUUUUUUCAUGUGUCUGCUGGCCAUGUGUGUCAUCUUUAGAAAAAUGUCUGUUCAGGUCCUCUGCCCAUUUCUUAAUCGUGUUGUUUGGGUUUCUUUUUUUAUGUUGAGUUGUAUGAAUACUUUGUAUAUUCUGAAUAUUAACCCUUUACUGGAUAUAUCAGUUGCAAAUAUCUUCUCUCAUUCCAUAGGUGGAAUUUUAGUUCUGUUGAUAAGUUUUUUCCUUUGCUAUGUAAAGGCUUUUUAGGUUGAUGUAGUCCCAUUUGUUUAUUUUUUGCUUAAUUGGAAGAGUUACAUCCAAAAAAACUACUAAUGCUGAUGUCAAAGAGAAAAUUUCUUCUAGAAGUUUUAUGUUUUCAGGUCUUACAUCUAAGCUUUUAAUACACUUUGAAUUUACAUUUGUACAUGGUGUGAAAAAGGAGUCUAGUUUGAUCCUUUUUUUUUUUUUUGGCCAUGGCCAUGUGUGGAAGUUCCCAGGUGGGGAUCUGAACCCAUGCCAUAGCAAGUCACCCAAACUGCUGCAGUGACAAUGCCAGAUCCUUAACCCACUAAGCCACAAGAGAACUCCCCAGUUUGACUCUUUUACCUGUAGUUGUCCAGGUCUCCCAAUACCUUUAUGGAAGAGGCUGUCUUUUCCCCAUUGUAUAUUCUUGCCUUCUUUCUUAUACAUUAAUUGCCCAUAUAAGGGUGGGUUCAUCUCUGGGCUCUCUCUUCUGUUCUAUUAAUCUAUGUGUCCCUUUGUUUGCCAAUACAAUAUUGUUUUGAUGAUUGUAGCUUUGUAGUAACAGUCUCUAUCUUCCACAGCACUCUGGCCCUCCCGAAAGUAAGCCCCACUGGCCUUCAAAGCUGAACAUUCUUGGGGCUCUGGUUCAGCACCCCUGGGCUGGGGAGCCCAAUGGGGGCUUGAACCACUUGUUCCUUGGGGAAAACCUCUGCAGUCAUAAUUAUGGUUCUGUUUGUGCGUUACUCACCUAGGGAUAUGAGUCUUGACUGCACUGUGUCUCUGUUCCUUCUACCCACCUCGUCGUGCUACCUUCUUUACAACCUUAAUUGUAAAAGAUCUUUCCUGCUAUUCUCCCAGUCUUUCUUAUCAAUAGUUGCUCUGUAAAGAGUUGCAUUGUUGGUGUGUCCAUGCGAGGCGGUGAGCUCAGGGUCUAUCUACUCCACCAUCUUGGCCACUUCCGUCUUAAAUAAUUAUUUUAAAUUUAUAUAUAUUAUUAUUGCCAAGAAGUAUGAUACAAUGAUCAAUUAAAAAACUAUUUUGCAUAAAAGUGUGUAUCAUACAAUGUAAUUCUGUGUAGGAAGGGGAAGAAAAGACACAAUUAAGGAGAAAAAGGUAUAAUGUAAAGUUUGGCUGUUAAAGAACUUGUUUCUACUUUUUAAUGGAUGACCAGAAGCCUUAAAAUUGCUAUGUUAUUUCAAUUUCACUGCACCAUUUAAAAGAAUGAUGUAAGAUGUUAAGUGACAAUGGUUACCACAAACAGGAAAUUACAUCAUUUGCAACUGUUUAAAUUUAUGGUAGAAAUAUCAGCUGUGAACUAAAAAAUGUGCAGAGGCAAAUAAUUUUUCAAAAUUCUUUUAGGGGAUAUAAGACUACAGGCUUAGAGGUGCACAUAUAUAUGUUGUACUUAAAUGUAGACAUCA
rnacentral:lncRNA from 1 species